rnacentral:rRNA from 1 species
GACGAACGCUGGCGGCGUGCCUAAUACAUGCAAGUCGAGCGGGUUUAUCCUUCGGGAUAAGCUAGCGGCGGACGGGUGAGUAACACGUAGGCAACCUGCCUGUAAGACUGGGAUAACUACCGGAAACGGUAGCUAAGACCGGAUAAUUGAUCAAGGUGCAUGCCCUGAUUAUGAAACACGGUGCAAGCUGUGGCUUACGGAUGGGCCUGCGGCGCAUUAGCUAGUUGGCGGGGUAACGGCCCACCAAGGCGACGAUGCGUAGCCGACCUGAGAGGGUGAUCGGCCACACUGGGACUGAGACACGGCCCAGACUCCUCCGGGAGGCAGCAGUAGGGAAUCUUCCGCAAUGGACGCAAGUCUGACGGAGCAACGCCGCGUGAGUGAUGAAGGUUUUCGGAUCGUAAAGCUCUGUUGCCAGGGAAGAACGCCUUGGAGAGUAACUGCUCCGAGGGUGACGGUACCUGAGAAGAAAGCCCCGGCUAACUACGUGCCAGCCGCCGCGGUAACAC